UACGUAGGCAGCAAGCGUUGUUCGGAAUUACUGGGCGUAAAGAGUGUGUAGGCGGUGCUCCAAGUCUGGUGUGAAAUCUCCCGGCUUAACUGGGAGGGUGCAUUAGAAACUUGGGAAUGCUAGAGGAUGGGAGAGGUAAGGCGGAAUUCCUGGUGUAGCGGUGAAAUGCGUAGAUAUCAGGAGGAACACCGUGUGGUGUAGACAGCUUACUGGAC
rnacentral:rRNA from 1 species